CAGUCCUCGAAGAUGCAGAGCGAAGCACUGCAAACAAAGCAAUACAAGCUUGGCUGCAAAAGCUCAAGAUCUACCUACAAGUUUAACGACAUCGUGAUGAUUGUUCCACCAGAGCCCUACAGUUGGGAAUCUGAAGGCCAACGCUCUGGAUAUCUGAGAAUGUAGCACUUGCUGUUAUAUCCAUUGGAAACAUUAAUCCCGUCACAAGAUAGGGUAUAGGGAAGAAUGAGAUCAAAGAGAGAUUAAUGAAUUGCUGAUGGGCGAACAAAGUUUAAUUUACUUGAGGUGGUUGUGGACAAACAAGUGGAACUUGCGCAAAUAAAGUCGCGAACAGAGCUCUUUGCCAAGUCAAACGCAACUAUAUGAAGAGAUGAAGAUAAAGGAAAGAUUAUCAAAGCUUGGUGGAAGGGUGUAUGUGAGAAAGAAGGAUGUUUCGUGUACCUCUAUAAUUGUAUAGGGGGGCUUGGAAAGACGACGCUAGCACAAAUGGUCCUAAAUGAAUGAGAGGGUGAAAAGCGCCUUUUGAGCCUAAAGUCUGGGUUUUUUUGUAUCCCAAGAUUUUGAUAGUGAAAAGGGAUGAUUAAAGCAACAUAGAAAUCUGCAUCUUCGGAACAUCUUGCGGGACCUAGACUAGAUUCUUUGCAGGAGACUUCAUGAGAAUCUGAAUAUGAAAAGAUACUUGAAUUGACUAGAUGAAUGGUCAUGGAACGAAGAUCAAUAGAAGUGGAAAUAGGUUGAAAUAUGCACUGGCAUGUGAUCAAAGGGGCUUCACAUCAAUCGCCACCCCACUCGUCUCAAAAAGGUUGCAAAGUUCAAUCGUUAGAGAACUAUGCACCACAAUCAUUGCCAUUUUUACUGAAGAUGAAUGUUGGGCUAUUGUUUAGAGCAACGUGCAUUUGGAGACGUAAAUGAAGACCCCCCACCUUGUAAGCCAUUGGGAAGGAGAUAGUUAAAAGUGUGGGGUGUGCCCUUUAGCUGCCAAAGCCCUUGUGAGGACUUUUGAGUUCAAAAGUGAUGAAAAAAUGAGUGGCUUUUAGUUACAAACAAGUGAAUAUUUGGAAUUUACAAGAUGAAAUUCGCAUCUUGUCGCCUGCCUUGAGAUUAAGUUACCAUAAUCUUCACGGAAUUGCGACAAUGUUUUGCAUAUUGUGCGUUUUUCCAAAGGGUACUAGAAUGAAAGGAAAAUGUAAUCCAUCUUUGGAAGGCAUGGCUUAUAUAGCCAGGUAACAAAGGAAAAACUAGAACGCAGAAGAGUAUUGUAAUCAGAUUUGAAAUGAAAUUAUGUGGCGAUCUCUAUUCCAAAUGUGAACAAUGAAUCAAUUUUGGGCUGCAGGACAUGUUCAAGUGCUGAUCCUUUGUGUCACGACCUUGCCCCAAUCUAGUUGGGGGCGAUGAAUGUCAGAUCAUGACAGUUUGAAGGUUCAAGAAGUAUAGCCAAAACAAAAGUGGUUCGCAUCUUACCUUUGGUUUCCAAAAUUGUUCGCCCGUGAUAUAUUUCCAUUUCCUGACAUUAUACAGGCAAGCUGAACUUUGCGACAAUCCAAGUACCAUGUUUGGGAACCAAUACCUAUCGUACUUUUCUGUCGCCUUUUGUGUGUGAUUUGACAAAUUUGGUUCACUACUUCCGAGUUUUAGAUGCAGUGUACACUGAGAUGAAAGAGAUACCGCCUUCACUUGGAGUAUGAACUCUAAGGUAUUUUUGGCACCUUUUCAACUCAAAUCCAUCAACUUCCCCGACCUCAAUUUGUAGCCCUCUGGAAUUUGCAGACAUAAUUCUGGAAAACUGUUGAAACUUAGGAGAUUUGCCCAGAAGAUGAAAUAACCUGAAGAAGGUCUCCGCCUUUGCUUGUCAUCGAUAUGGGUUUAAUUGACAUGCCCCCUAAGCUUGGCUUGGGCAGCUAAAAAAUUGCUUGAAGACCUUAAAUAUGUUUGUUGUGGGGCAGAGUUUAAGGUUGUCCCCUAGCUGAAUUGGCAAUCCUUAAACCUCGGAGAAAACUUUGCUCCAGGCACCUUGAUAGAGUGACGAAAUCCGGUAAUGGCCAAAGAAGCCAAUUUGGUGGAAACAAAUCUCCGCAUGUUGAGCUGUUUUGGGAAGAGCAAUGCUGAGUUUGAAUUAAAGUAAACUGUUGAACAACUACUUGAGUCCCUUGAACCUCAUCCAAACAUAAAGGGGUUAGUUAUUCACAAUUAUAAAGGUUCACUCUUCCCCCUCUGGAUGGAGGAGUCCAGUGUUCGAAAUGUAGUCGAAAUUGAGCUCAAGGAUUGCAAAAACUGCUCACAGCUUCCACCCUUUGGAAAAUUACCUUUGUUAAAACGCCUUGAAAUUAGUGGAAUGGAUAAAGUCGAAUAUAUCGACGACGACUUCCCUGGAGAAGGUCCAGUUAGCGGAUUCCCGUCCUUGGAAGUACUCAAUAUCCAUAGCUUGCCAAAUUUGAAAGGUUUGUCAAGGGAGGAGGGAAGAGAGUUGUUCCCUCGUCUCCGUGAGAUGAAAAUUGGUGGU
rnacentral:lncRNA from 1 species